rnacentral:tRNA from 1 species
GCGUCCGUAGCUCAACUGGAUAGAGCGACGGACUUCGAAUCCGUAGGUCGCAGGUUCGAGUCCUGUCGGACGCA